GGGGUGAGCAGGGAAAACCUUUUCAGAAACAACAGUGAGAAUAUUAGGAUGGAGGAAAAGGGCUGAAAGGACCAGAGAUCUGUGUGUAAAACUCAA